AUGUCGCUCUCUCUGCUUCUGCUGCUGCUGGUCUGCAGCGUCCAGGCAACUGAUUUUUAUGGCACAGUGAUGACCUACUACCCCAAAAACACUAACGCAGAUGGAUCUAUGGCGGUGGUUCUUCGCUAUAAGGUGAACUUCCACAAUUGUGCAGAUGAAAGUGAAGCAUCGAGGAUCUGCACUGGGAAUUGUGGGAAUCAGAGCAUAAUCAAACACGAGGUAGACAGGGAGGACAGCGUAGCCCAGUUGGGCAACGGAGAGUGGUGUCAGACAGAGGGAAUCCUGACUGUACAGGUUCUCAGCAACGCUCCGCUUGAGCUGGAAUUAAAUGGUGGUGCCUGGAUAGCUAACAUUAAUGGCAUCGGAAAUUGGAGUGCUGUGACUCAGGUGGAGCUGAGGAACCGGUCGGACACCGGCAAAGCCAACACAUCACCCCAAACCACCAUACUGCCCGCUGUGAGAGUUCCUUCAAACUGUCAGAGAGAUUUCAACCUGCUGGCGUUUGACCCUGACGGAGACGAGGUUAAAUGCAGAUAUGGAAACGCAUCGCUGUCAGAGUGUGACAUCUGCACGCCAGCGUCUGUUCUCAGCCUCUCAUCAUCUUGUACUCUGUCAUUCAGCCCCACCAGUAGCAGUAAUGAAGGUGCAUACGUCGUACAACUGGUGAUGGAGGACUUUCCCAGGCAGAAUAUCAACCUGACUCAGACCGACGGUUCGCAGGUGGCGAGAACUACAAACGACUCUAUCAGCAAAAUACCUGUCCAAUUUGCUUUAAGGGUGGAUCCUGUGGUGCCAUCCUGCACUGAGGGACUUUAUCUGCCCAAGUUUCUGCCUCCAACCCCAGCCAACAGAGCUCGGCUGUACACUCCUGCCAAUCAGACCCUGGAAAUCAGCAUCAAGGCAGAGGCAAAUGUCUCCACAAUUACUGAGCUGCUGUUCAGCGGGCCGCACAACACAAACCAGACAAAUUCAGGAGCAGGACAGUACAUCCUGAGAUGGACGCCGUCUGAAAACGAAGAUGGAGAAAGCCACCCCAUCUGCUUUGUCAUCCAGGCAGUUUUCAGUACAACCAAGUAUCACUCGGAGCUACGUUGUGUGAUUGUGAGUGUUGGAAACGCCCCAACAACAACUACAACCAUUGAUCCAACUACAACAACCACACAAAGUACAACCACCAUUCCCUCAACAGCUAUCCCACUACCUACAACCACUACCCCAUCCACAACUACUACACCACAAAUUACAACAACUACACCACCAACUACAACCACUACCCCAUCCACAACUACUACACCACAAAUUACAACAACUACACCACCAACUACAACCACUACCCCAUCCACAACUGCUACACCACAAAUUACAACAACUACUGCACCAACUACCACCACACAAACGACUGUUCCCUCAACAACUACCCCACCAACUACAACCACUACCCCAUCCACAACUACUACACCACAAAUUACAACAACUACUGCACCAACUACCACAAAAACGACUGUCCCUCAACAACUACCACCAACUACAACCACUACCCCAUCCACAACUACUACACCACAAAUUACAACAACUACACCACCAACUACAACCACACCCCAUCACAACUACUACACCACCAACUACAACCACUACCCCAUCCACAACUGCUACACCACAAAUUACAACAACUACUGCACCAACUACAACCACUACCCCAUCCACAACUGCUACACCACAAAUUACAACAACUACCGCACCAACUACAACCACUACCCCAUCCACAACUACUACACCACAAAUUACAACAACUACACCACCAACUACAACCACUACCCCAUCCACAACUGCUACACCACAAAUUACAACAACUACACCACCAACUACAACCACUACCCCAUCCACAACUACUACACCACAAAUUACAACAACUACACCACCAACUACAACCACUACCCCAUCCACAACUACUACACCACAAAUUACAACAACUACUGCACCAACUACCACCACACAAACCACCUUUCCCUCAACAACUACCCCACUAGGUACGACCACAAUCAAUGA
ensembl:lncRNA